UGCUGCAGUCCAUGAGGUUGCAAAGAGUCUGACAUGACUGAGUGACUGAACUGAACGCACAGAAGAGAGCUGACGGGUGUGAGAACACAGGGAGAAGACGGCAUCUACCAGCCAAGGAGAGAGGCCUGGGAAGACCAAGCCUUGACCUUGGACGUCCAACCUCCAGAGCUAUGAACCGAUACAUUUCUGUGUUUAAGCCACCCAGAUGGCAGUAUCUCGGCGUGGCAGCCUAAGCAGGUCUGGGAGAGUCGUACAAAAGCUGUGGAGCUGUGAAGUGGGUGGGUCUAAGGAGAAAGGGCGUUCUGGGCAGUGGGAACAGGGAGCAACAGUACAAGUGCCUAAGUAACAGCCCCACUGGUGACUGGGACUGAAUGAAGGCAAGAGUGGGAGGAGGGUGGGUGGGGACUUCCCCAGUGGUCCAGUCAUUAGGGCUCCAUGCUGCCAGUGUAUGGGGCGCAGGUUCAAUCCCUGGUCAGGGAACUAAGAUCUCACAUGCUGUGUGGCCAAGAAAUUUUUUUUUUUUUUUAAAGGAAGAGGGUGAGUGGUGACAAGGGUGGUUGCUGCAAAGCCCUUACUCUGCUUUGAGCAAAAAGUGGACUCUGGAGUCCUGGAGGCUGACCAGUGAUGGGACCUGGCCUGGGCUUUGGCUUGAUCCCUUAGCUGGGUUGGACAAGGAUCAGGGUCAGCAAACUACAGCCUGCCCACCACCAGCUGAUUUUGAAAAUAGUUAGGUUGGAAUGCAGCCAUGUCCGUUCUUUUACAUACUGUCUACGAGUGCUUUCCAGGCUACAGUGCUGAGCAGCUGAGUACAGGAAGCAAAGCUAAAAGUAUUUACACUCUGCCCCCUGGGAGGACAAGAGUGCAGGCCCCUGGCGUUGAUGGUGGGGAUGAGUGUGGAUCAGAAGCUUGUGUCCCUCAAGCUCGGAGUUGUCAAAACUGAGAGUGAUAUCAGCAAGGUGACAGGGUAGGAAGCCCCAAAUCCUUCUUCCACGGGAAUAAUCGUGUAAUAACGAUACAUAGAUCAACUGCCUUUGAGAAGAAUCCAGAAACCAGUUAAGAGAGUCCGGCAUCUGAGAUGGACCAAGAAGAACCUUAUCAAAAUGGACAGGAAAAGGUGUGACAUUUGCUCAUGCUCGCCCUGCCCCCAGCACAGAAGAAUAUGACUGAUCAACAGCUCCCGACACUUGGCUGCUCCCUUGGGAGGGAAAGAGAAGCAUGGAACACUGGCCAAUACUCUGCCUUGGCUGAACCUAAAUGUUGACAGGGAAGGGAGCUAGGCUGGGGGCCACUGAGAACAAAAGGAAUUCCGUGGCAGUCCAGCGCCAGAGAGGCUGAAGUGCCACAGACAGAAGCUAGGGGGAAGUCCUCAGGAGAAACGGGUAGUCCUCAGAUAGGAGGUUACAUGGACCAGCAGAGAGAAUCCCAUCACCAGAAAAAGUCUCGCGAAGUCUCCAGAAUCUUUAACUGGUGGAUUGGUGAAGGUCUGUCUCUAUAAGCCAGAUUAUAGAGACUGAGAAAGGCGGUCAUUUUUUCUCCAAAUAUGUAAGUCCCAGCAAAGAAACAUGGAAAUAUAGACGAACCUUUUUGCUGGGUAGGAUUAGAGAUGCAGAUGUAAGCAAUGGAUGGCAGGGGUGGUGGGAUGGUGGUGGUGGGGCAAACGGGGACGUUGGGAUUGACGUGUGUGUAAAACAGACAACUAGUAGGAAGCUGCUGUGCAGCCCAGGGAGCUCAGCUCGAUGCUCUU
rnacentral:lncRNA from 1 species